rnacentral:rRNA from 1 species
UACGGAGGGUGCAAGCGUUAUCCGGAUUCACUGGGUUUAAAGGGUGCGUAGGUGGGUAUGUAAGUCAGUGGUGAAAUCCCCGAGCUUAACUUGGGAACUGCCGUUGAUACUAUAUACCUUGAAUGUCGUAGAGGUAAGCGGAAUAUGUCAUGUAGCGGUGAAAUGCUUAGAGAUGACAUAGAACACCAAUUGCGAAGGCAGCUUGCUAUGCGAUUAUUGACACUGAGGCACGAAAGCGUGGGUAGCAAACAGG